ACUCCUACGGGAGGCAGCAGUGGGGAAUUUUGGACAAUGGGGGAAACCCUGAUCCAGGCAUCCCGCGUGUGCGAUGAAGGCCUUCGGGUUGUAAAGCACUUUUGGCAGGAAAGAAACGUCGCGGGCUAAUACCCCGCGGAACUGAUCGUAUCUGCAGAAUAAGCACCGGCUAACUACGUGCCAGCAGCCGCGGUAAU
rnacentral:rRNA from 1 species